CAGUCAGCCUCGUGCGCCUACAGCCGCCUCCAACCGGCAGAAAGCACGCGCUGAAAUCUGCAGCUGAUAGUCAAACUUUAACCAUCUAUCAAAAAUGUCCCCCAGCAGCAGCUGUCACUGAAAGGCGGCAUCAGGCACAGAGGGAUGGAGCGCAGGAAUUAACCGGACAAAGGAGGAAAGCUGACGGACAGUGUGACGUUCAGGAGCCUCGGCGAGGAUUACCACGGUCUCCAACGGUGGGGGGUUUUUUCCCUCUAAAAAUAGGCGACUUUGGGUCUGCACGCCCCCACCUAGAGAUGUUAACCGAGAUGUUAGCUUGUUGAAAAAAAUGCUUCAGUCAUUGCCACAAGAUUGUUAAUGUUCCUCAAAUCUGCAUCUCUCCUCCUAAAAAUGUUUGCGGAGCUCCUCGGUGGAUUAUCUGAACCGAUUGUCAGCUGUGUGAUGUAUAAUUGAUCACGGAGGACGGAGCUGGACACCGCCCGGACCAGCUUCAAGGCUACCGGACCGGGAUUGUAUGUCUUUUUGCCUGGUUUGUGAAAAGAAAAAGGCAGUCAGCUUCCAGCUCUGCGUGCUGGCGGAUGGAAACUGCGCGCAUUGCCGGAAUAUUUCGGGAUUGAGAUAGUUCAAUUUGUUAAAUAGGGCCCUACCUGGAGGGAUAGCUGCAUGUUUUGGAGAACACACCACCCGUCCAUACACUCAGACGGAUGCUUGGAUAAGUGAAAAGGUUACUUGCACUCAAGGACACCCUCAGUGUUAGUCGGUGUAGUUCUCUUAAAGUCUUUGGGUUUUGAAGCACAAACUGGAGCUGCGCACGGAUUUUAAGUGGGAUUGAAGGUAUUUAGCCCCCCGACAUCACUUUUCUGUGCUGCGUCUCGCUUUGGAUAUCCCUCUGAGGACUGUGCUCCAAUGAAAAAGCAAAUGUACACAGAUGGCACGAGCUCUGACGCCCCUGUUACUUUGAAUGCGUUAUUGGAAUAACGGUAAUUGGGAUUUGGGAGGCGAAUGGGAGGCUAAUAGGAGUUAUUCAGCAGCCAUAUGACCCCCUCCAUCCACCCACCCUUGUCGUUUGAGGAUCUAUGUGUACGUGAGUGCGUCUCGUAGUUUUGCUCGGUGAGACCACCGGCACCUGGAUUCCCGGUUCGCCCCCUUUUCUUCUCUUCUGCCUGACUGCGCGCACGUCUGUUCCGGUAAUUUCGCUCCUGCUGCUGCCGCUGCUUCUGCUGCUGUCCGGUCCAACACACAUACACACACACUCCCGUUUAUUCAGCCCCAGAAAACUACCAAGAGAGCCUCUCUCUCUCCGCGUGUGGAUGGGAAAGGAGUCGCGCAGGAGAGGAGAGCAGGAGUUGGGAUAAGCAGCCGAGCCUGAUCGCCUUUUUAAAAAAAAGCCGUGCGGGGCUCCUCGUUGUGAUUUAACUCAUCCAUUAGUGGACGGAUCGGGAGAGCAAGGAGAAGGGGUUCCAGAGAAAGAGGGACUAGAGGAAAGAAGGUGGAGAUCGAUGAAGGUAUCUGGAAGGAUUGAGCUGGCAACCAGAUGACAUAAAGGUAGGAGGGUGCCCUUGUUAGCUUGUCAUCCCGUUGUAACCCUGAGGCCAGUGAUGUGACUGGAAUGUGAAUUCACCAUAAAAGGACUGACUCUACCUGAGGACUUCCUGCUUCCCCAAGAAACUCAGGGAAUCUUGGCAGACUUUGACGGACAGCUGGCUGAGCAAAUGACAAACUUUGAGAGCUUUUAACGCAUGUCUGCUGGGUCGUCCGGUCAAACCAACGUGGGCGUGUGCACCACGAUUACGUGAAAGUGAACCCGGAUGAGCGCCAGCACUGCUUCGUGCCCUGUGAGAAGAGGACGGCCCCCCUCCCUGCUG